rnacentral:ncRNA from 1 species
AAAUAAUUUUAAUUAUUUUAAAAAUAAUUAUUUAUUUAUGUAGUAAUUAAUAUUAAAAAUUUAAGAAAUUAAGAUUUAGUAAUAUGAAAAUUAAUAACUAAUUUUGUGCCAGCAGUUGCGGUUAUACAAAAAUUAAAUUAAAUUAUUUUAGUUUAUAAUAAAUAAAUUUAUUUAAAAUAAAUAUUAAAUUAUUAAGUGAAAUUUUAAUUUAAUUAAAUUUUAUUUUUAAAUUAUGAUUUAAUAAAUUUUAAUAUAAACUAGGAUUAGAUACCCUAUUAUUAAAAAUUUAAUUAAUAAUACUAAAAUAGUAAAUAAUUAUUUAUUGAAACUUGAAUAAUAUGGCGGUAUUUUAGUUCAUUUAGAGGAAUCUGUCUAAUAAUUGAUAAUCCACGAAUAAAUUUACUUAGUUUAAAAUUUUGUAUAUCAUUGUUAAAAAAAUAUUUUUAAAUAAAAAUAAUAUUUAAAAUUUUUAAUUUAAAAUUAAUUCAGAUCAAGAUGCAGAUUAUAAUUAAGAAUAAGAUGGAUUACAUUAAAUAUAUUUAAAUGAAUAAUAUAAUUGUAAAAUAUAUUAGAAAAUGGAUUUAAAUGUAAUUUUAAUUAAUUUAUUAAAAUGAUUAAAAAUUAAAAUAUGUACAUAUUGCCCGUCACUUUCAUUUAAAAAUUGGAAUAAGUCGUAACAAAGUAGAGGUACUGGAAAGUGUUUCUAGAAAGAA